rnacentral:rRNA from 1 species
ACAUCCAGCGAACUUGGCAGAGAUGCCUUGGUGCCUUCGGGAACGCUGAGACAGGUGCUGCAUGGCUGUCGUCAGCUCGUGUUGUGAAAUGUUGGGUUAAGUCCCGCAACGAGCGCAACCCUUAUCCUUUGUUGCCAGCGAUUCGGUCGGGAACUCAAAGGAGACUGCCGGUGAUAAACCGGAGGAAGGUGGGGAUGACGUCAAGUCAUCAUGGCCCUUACGAGUAGGGCUACACACGUGCUACAAUGGCGCAUACAAAGAGAAGCGACCUCGCGAGAGCAAGCGGACCUCAUAAAGUGCGUCGUAGUCCGGAUCGGAGUCUGCAACUCGACUCCGUGAAGUCGGAAUCGCUAGUAAUCGUGGAUCAGAGUGCCACGGUGAAUACGUUCCCGGGCCUUGUACACACCGCCCGUCACACCAUGGGAGUGGGUUGCAAAAGAAGUAGGUAGCUUAACCUUCGGGAGGGCGCUUACCACUUUGUGAUUCAUGACUGGGGUGAAGUCGUAACAAGGUAAGCGUAGCGAG